GUGCACGUUUUCUCUUGCUUUUUCUUUUGUUUUUAAUUGCCUCUUCCCCUUCGUGCGUUCUACUCCUCCCCGUCUUCUUCACCGAACGUCUCCCUCCAUCGUCUGCAAUUUAUUUAUAGAAACUAAAAACUCUUAACACCAACACUUCUUUGGCCGCUGACUGAUAUUCUACACAGGCCAUCGACGACGAAAGUCUGGUGACAGCAUCGGGUUUGGCCCACUGACCCAGCUCGCGACCUGCUACUUCGCAACGGACCAGUUACGAUACGACGGAGGUGGUGCAGCAGCAAGAUGCCGCGUUUCUUAAGUCCAACCGAGGCGCGACGGCGCUGCCUUUGACCGACCCGAGCCUAAUGCUUAGCCCUCGUCCGACCGGCGGCGACUCGAUGGCCACAAGAGCUGCCACCUAUGCCCCCGGAACAGAAGAGAUCCGCGGCCGCUCGUGGGUCGCCACGGGACGUUAAAAAAUCACAGGAAAAACCUCGACUAGGUGGGACGGUGCCUAAAUGACGAAACAGGACUGGAUCUCAUUCAGACCUUUUACCGAACAGGUGGAGUGCUCUAUCGAAACUAAAAAUUCUCGGCCCAAGAAAGAUCGGGAUCUGCGUCGGGACUCUCGAUGGCUAAACUAGGACGCUCACGACGGGCGAUGGCCAGAGCUCGCGUGAGUCGAACGGCCGCAAGCUCUGGCCCGGUAUGCUCGAAAAUAUGGCCAACAAGAGGGUUGGGGCUUACCGGUUUGGCUCAAGGGCGUCGGCUGGGAGAGGUCGUCGGACGGUGGUGGAGUGUGGUUGAGUCGCUAGAUAAGGCUCUCUUGAACUCGACCCUCGGUCUCUCUCUGGAUUCUCUCUCGACCAAGGCAAAAACUGAGCCUCCCUCACUCCCUCGAGCUCACACUCUCUCGAGCUCGCUUUCCUCUUAGGCCCGCUCCUUCUCACGACUCCAAUUGGGCUAUAUCAACGAGGCAGUGAACCUGGAUUCAAGCCUCCAGAUAUUAACGGCGAAUCUGUAUCCGCUGUGCCCGCAGCCGGAACUAGCUUGGGGCAUGGUCUGACACCUGGACGAUGGCCUGUUGACCAUCCUCAUGCAGAAUGGAAUUGGUGGCCUUCAGUGCACCUCAGCUGGAAGUGGGUCGAAGUCGAUCCCAUUCCAAACGCCUUUUUGGCCAACACUGGUGGUCACCUCGAGGUUAUGAGCAAUGGGAAGUACAAGAGCAUUCUGCAUCCAGCUUUCAUGAACAACAAGGCUAUCAAUCUCUAUAUCUAGUGGACCGUCGCUGGACACAGUUGUCAUGCCAGUGGAACAGCUGGUGGAUGGCGAGAACAACUGAGCGGUGUACAACUAGAUGAAGUACAAGGACUACUUGGAACUUCAACAGAGCAACACACCAGAUGGGACAUCGGGCCUAGAAUGGGUAAAGAUAUAAUUUUGUGCAGCCUAAACUAUUAUACUGCAUUAUGUAAAAAGUACGUGUGACUAGGUUCUCCUUCUCGACUGGUUAAACUCUCUGGAGUGCAACCUCAUGGAAAAUUUAAUAUAAUGCGAUGCAAGGUACAAGCACCAACAGCACUCAUGUAUGUAAACUGAUCCUUUCUGUAAUGUAAAUUCUUGAUAUAAUAAAUGGAAGCGAUAACUUCAUAAUGUUAGAUUAAA